rnacentral:rRNA from 1 species
GACGGACGCUGGCGGCGUGCUUAACACAUGCAAGUCGAACGGAAAGGCCCCAGCUUGCUGGGGUACUCGAGUGGCGAACGGGUGAGUAACACGUGGGUGAUCUGCCCUGCACUCUGGGAUAAGCCUGGGAAACUGGGUCUAAUACCGGAUAGGACCGUGCUUUAGUGUGUGCGGUGGAAAGUUUUUCGGUGCAGGAUGAUCACGCGGCCUAUCAGCUUGUUGGUGGGGUAAUGGCCUACCACGGCGGCGACGGGUAGCCGGCCUGGGAGGGUGUACGGCCACAUUGGGACUGAGACACGGCCCAGACUCCUACGGGAGGCAGCAGUGGGGAAUAUUGCACAAUGGGCGCAAGCCUGAUGCAGCGACGCCGCGUUGGGGAUGACGGCCUUCGGGUUGUAAACCCCUUUCGGCAGGGACGAAGCUUUUGUGACGGUACCUGCAUAAGAAGCACCGGCUAACUACGUG